rnacentral:lncRNA from 10 species
GCAUUGGAGCUGGAAAUCUCGUUGAGUUUGGGAGGCCUUACUUCUGCAUAUUUGAAUCUGGUGACCAAAUUAAACAUUGUUCUAAGCUGUAGUGGUCUGAUCAUUCUACCAAGGCCAUGACUGUGAAGAGCACUGUGGGUGAUGGCUGGUGGCUCACCGGAGCCGGCUUGUGCACGGCGCCCGAAGCCAAAGGGUGGGAAGGGAGUGCAGAAUGUCCCAGAAUAGGGGUCUGAGGAGCUGGAGGAGACACUCUGAAAUGGGCAGGGGCAGCAUGUGUAUAUGUAUAUGUGUGUGUGUGUGUGUGUGUGUGUGUAUGUGCGUGAUGGGGAGAGGGUAUGAAGAAAAAAUGGGAACCAUUUUCUUAAUAUUGAAAACUACUGCCUUACUGUCUUUUCUUAAAUCUGGCACAGAAAUCUGAAGACCCGACCUUACUAUUGGCAAAGACAGACAAACACUCUACAAAUAGUGCUUGAAAAAUGCCACUGUUUGGUUCAGAUGGUGAAGAGGAACUCAGGAAGGCCUGGCAGUCUCUAGGAGGCUAGGGCAGUGGUUCUCAAAUGAUAGGGUGUACAGAAAUUCCCUGGAGGACUUGUGACAACAAAGAUUGCUAGGCCUACUCCCAGGGUUUCUAAUUCAGCAGGUCUGGGGAUGGAGCUCAAGUAUCUGCAUUUCUAACAAGUCCCCGGUGGUGCUGAUGCUGCUUGCAUGGACCAGUUUUGAGAACCAUACUUGGAGAAACACUUGGUUAGGAAAACUAUGUCUGUUACAGAUUGAUCAAAGGGCUCUUAAGUUCCUUUUGUACAAUAAAUCACUGCGAUAUCAAAUGAGGUAAAUGAACAUGCUCUUUGAACUCUUAACUUCUAGACCAAUAUAAAACAUUCUAAAUAUGAAAUGGAAACAUUUACAAUUGUUAUUGAUUCUCAUCAAUGCAAUGUUCAAUAAAGAUAAGAAUCACGUUUUCAGUCUCCAC